UACGUAGGAGACGAGCGUUGUCCGGAAUUACUGGGCGUAAAGCGCGUGUAGGCGGAUGAGCAAGUCUGCUGUGAAAGCUCCUGGCUUAACCGGGAGUGGUCGGUGGAAACUGCUCGUCUGGAGGACGGUAGAGGUAGGUAGAAUUCCCGGUGUAGUGGUGAAAUGCGCAGAUAUCAGGAGGAACACCAGUGGCGAAGGCGGUGCUCUGGGCCGGAACUGACGCUGAGGAGCGAAAGCGUGGGGAGCAAACAGG
rnacentral:rRNA from 1 species